AUGAAUGGAAGAGGCCUGAUUCUCCUCCUGCUCAUGCUCCUGCUCCUGGUAAUGGAAGUUUCCGAAGCCGUCUCCAGACUAGUCUUUGUUCCUGUUUCGGCAAGGUGAUAUAUCAAGUCCUGAAUAUUAUUUAAGCAUUUAUCUGCCGAAGAAGUUAGUAAAUAAUUUAUCUCUGGGAUGCUGCUGCAUAUUAUUACGUGUAAAAAGGAAUCGGAAGAGAUCAAUGGGUGUGAUAAGGAGGAUCUAUUGUACUUUUCCGAGAUGUGCUUGAAGGUUGCACCGAUAUGAUAAAUUAUAACCCCAAUUUGUGCUCCCUACUUCCGUUGAGUGCCUGGUUUACUGAAUUGGAAGCCACAUGUUCCUUAUGUUCUCAUUGCACCUUGGUUGUUAGCGUACUGCCAAAAUCGAGAAUUAUGAAGGGCCCCAAAUCGAAGGAAGCACAGCAUGCGUGGCUCUCAUUUGAGGCAACCAGAUAAUUGUUGGAAAUGUUGGUGAUUCCCGUUGUGUACUCUCAAGGAAUGGUCAGGCAAUUGAUUUAUCCACCGAUCACAAGCCAAAUGAACCAGGUGAAAGAGCCAGAAUUGAAGCUGCAGGAGGAUCAGUAGUCCAGAGGCAAGUCCUUGUAUAUGAUGCAGGACGAAUGAGGGUUGAACAAGGCCCAUAUCGCGUUGAUGGAAUAAUAGCCGUAUCCAGAGCGCUUGGUGAUUUUCAGUUCAAGAAGAACAAUAAAUUGAAGUUGAUAUGUAAUCCUGACAUUCACACUGAGGACAUAACUGAUGAUAUUGAUUUUCUUCUCAUAGCAAACGAUGGUAUCUGGUAAGUCCUGAGCUAAAAAUAACACAAGAAGAUGUUUAUUUAUGACUUGCUUCUAAGUGCAAUACUUCAUCCAGACCUAAGCCACUCCAAUUACUAUUAUC